rnacentral:rRNA from 1 species
GUAGAACGCUGAAGAGAGGAGCUUGCUCUUCUUGGAUGAGUUGCGAACGGGUGAGUAACGCGUAGGUAACCUGCCUUGUAGCGGGGGAUAACUAUUGGAAACGAUAGCUAAUACCGCAUAACAAUGGAUGACACAUGUCAUUUAUUUGAAAGGGGCAAUUGCUCCACUACAAGAUGGACCUGCGUUGUAUUAGCUAGUAGGUGAGGUAACGGCUCACCUAGGCGACGAUACAUAGCCGACCUGAGAGGGUGAUCGGCCACACUGGGACUGAGACACGGCCCAGACUCCUACGGGAGGCAGCAGUAGGGAAUCUUCGGCAAUGGGGGCAACCCUGACCGAGCAACGCCGCGUGAGUGAAGAAGGUUUUCGGAUCGUAAAGCUCUGUUGUAAGUCAAGAACGAGUGUGAGAGUGGAAAGUUCACACUGUGACGGUAGCUUACCAGAAAGGGACGGCUAACUACGUGCCAGCAGCCGCGGUAAUACGUAGGUCCCGAGCGUUGUCCGGAUUUAUUGGGCGUAAAGCGAGCGCAGGCGGUUUGAUAAGUCUGAAGUUAAAGGCUGUGGCUCAACCAUAGUUCGCUUUGGAAACUGUCAAACUUGAGUGCAGAAGGGGAGAGUGGAAUUCCAUGUGUAGCGGUGAAAUGCGUAGAUAUAUGGAGGAACACCGGUGGCGAAAGCGGCUCUCUGGUCUGUAACUGACGCUGAGGCUCGAAAGCGUGGGGAGCGAACAGGAUUAGAUACCCUGGUAGUCCACGCCGUAAACGAUGAGUGCUAGGUGUUGGAUCCUUUCCGGGAUUCAGUGCCGCAGCUAACGCAUUAAGCACUCCGCCUGGGGAGUACGACCGCAAGGUUGAAACUCAAAGGAAUUGACGGGGGCCCGCACAAGCGGUGGAGCAUGUGGUUUAAUUCGAAGCAACGCGAAGAACCUUACCAGGUCUUGACAUCCCGAUGCUAUUUCUAGAGAUAGAAAGUUACUUCGGUACAUCGGUGACAGGUGGUGCAUGGUUGUCGUCAGCUCGUGUCGUGAGAUGUUGGGUUAAGUCCCGCAACGAGCGCAACCCCUAUUGUUAGUUGCCAUCAUUCAGUUGGGCACUCUAGCGAGACUGCCGGUAAUAAACCGGAGGAAGGUGGGGAUGACGUCAAAUCAUCAUGCCCCUUAUGACCUGGGCUACACACGUGCUACAAUGGUUGGUACAACGAGUUGCGAGUCGGUGACGGCAAGCUAAUCUCUUAAAGCCAAUCUCAGUUCGGAUUGUAGGCUGCAACUCGCCUACAUGAAGUCGGAAUCGCUAGUAAUCGCGGAUCAGCACGCCGCGGUGAAUACGUUCCCGGGCCUUGUACACACCGCCCGUCACACCACGAGAGUUUGUAACACCCGAAGCUCGGUGAGGUAACCUUUUGGAGCCAGCC